GCCCCCUUCCUUCGGCCCCGCCCCGCCCCACUGGCCGCCCGCUCCCUGGGGGACCGAGGGAGGAACGGGCGGGGUCCUCAGGUGCCCGGCGACGUCAUCCAGCCCCCUAGGCUCCAGGGCGCAAAGGGUCCCCUGAUCUGGCAGUCCCUGGACCCACCCUGGAGAGCGUGGGGGCCCAAAGGCCGGACGCGCCGUCCGCCGCGGCCUCCGGGAAGGCCUCCCUUGCCAGGACAGCGGAGUUGGCCGGAUGUGGACAGCAGGAAGGGCCAGCGGGAGGGGGGUUGGAAAGAUCCACUCCUGGUUAAUAACUCUGCCGGGUUAACCUAGGGCCGGCCAUGUCCAGUACGGACUUGAGUAAAAUUCAGCAGGAAAGGGAGCAGAGUGGGCGCUGCUAGAGGGAGGCUUCAGGACUGAGGGUCAGAGGCCCAAGGCCUGGCAGGGCCCUUCCGUCGUGAGCUCCAGGGGAGCUCCAGCUCCAUCAGCUUGGCCUGAUGACCGGUGGGCCACGGGCCUCUUCCAGCCUCAGGCUGACCCCAGAGAAAGGGCAGCCCACAAGCCCGGGAGGCCGACUUGCUGCCUGGUCAUUGCUGCAGAGCCUGGAGGGGGCCCAGGCUCAGUCCCUGCUGACCUUCGGCUCCCUUUAUCCUGCCAUAGCCAUCUGUGUAACCCAGGGGAAAUGAUUCCAAAGGGACUUCCACUUCUGAUAAUCUAUGAUUCUGUUUUUUAAAAAACAAAACUCUAAAUUGCUUAAUGUCAAACAUCUGUCAUCAGCUGACCAGGAAAAGGAACAGUAGGUACAAAGCAAGGCAACAUCAGAAAGGGGAGCCCUGAGGAAUUUCUCCCUCCUUCCCCAAGCUGGGUGAGGUCGUGACUGCAGCCUGACUCACGGGUUUUAUUUCGCUUAGUAACCUAAAGAUGGCGAGGAUCCGCUAGUUCUGCCUCAGGCCUGGAGGCUGCCUGCCGUGGGUGACUCUCAUCGGUCCUUCCAAAGUGCCUACGGAAAGCUUUGGCCCAUCCUUGAAAAAUUGCUAAUGGGUUUGGAGAUCCAAGGUGGAGAUGACUAGCAAUCAAGCUCAAAGGUGGAAAAGUCACGUCGAGGCAGAUGAGCAGAUGAGGGGACCUCGAGAAGAAGAGAGGGGCACGGAGAGCCCAGCCAGCAGGAACAGUUGCCCCAGUAGGCAGCACUGCCCCACAUCAGAGUCGAGGAAAGCAAAGCUCAGACUGGAUAAAAGAAAGCUGCAAACACGGUCAGCGCCACUGCAUGUGGGCUCAGAGCACGUGACCCUCCUUCCCUGUGUGUGCCUGUGAAAUGGGUUUACUGCUCUAACUCUCAGGGACACUGUGAAGAUCAAACGAGAAAAUAGAAAUAAACAUGAUUUAUAAACCAUAAAGUACUGAUACCAAAAGAGGGGCGAGCUCAACAUUGCGAAUGUGCUGAUACUAAACGGUUCACUUUAAGAUGGUUUUACGGUGUGUGAAUUUCACUUGAAUAAAUUUUUUUAAUGGAGUUCA